GUCUACGGCCAUACCACGUUGAAAUCACCAGUUCUCGUCCGAUCACUGAAGUUAAGCAACGUCGGGCUCGGUUAGUACUUGGAUGGGUGACCGCCUGGGAACACCGAGUGCUGUAGACGCCC
rnacentral:rRNA from 1 species